rnacentral:lncRNA from 1 species
GAAUUUCAUGAAUGAUAGUUUCCGGGAUAUGGUAUCCUACGCGGUCGCUUAGCCAAAAUCGCAGAAAUGAUGCCUGCAUGGAUGUGAAGAAUAUAUUAUUUUAAUGUACCUGUGAGUCUUAAAAAAAAUGUAACAAAUCUUUAAAGUGACACUCACAAAUUUAAUAUUAUACUUUGCAUCAUUGAAGCUCCACAUAGAAUUGUAGCAUUGAAAACACUGCUGCUUCAAGUCCAAAACAAGUAAAUACCAAUGCCAUUCCAUAUUCAUUGGAAUGAAUAGAUAUCUAUAGUUUUGGAGAUCGCAGAGUUGUAUGUCCCCUAACCAUUUUAUAAUACUAGGCUGCAAGGACUGUAAAAUACUUUUUGUAACAUCAGCAGUUACCUCACCAAUGCCCAAUAGAUGUCGAUUCACGGCAGCCUACAAAAU